rnacentral:sRNA from 1 species
CUUGUUCAUCUGAGUGUCGGCACAAACCAGCAGAGGCGGUGACGAUGCUCUCGGGCAUAGAGGCGGCGGCAGGGGAAUACGAGGACUCGGAGCUGCGGUGCCGCGUGGCUGUGGAGGAGCUGAGCCCGGGCGGGCAGCCGCGAAGGCGCCAGGCCCUGCGCACCGCGGAGCUGAGCCUGGGUCGCAACGAGCGCCGCGAGUUGAUGCUGCGGCUGCAAGCGCCAGGACCCGCGGGGCGGCCGCGCUGCUUCCCUCUGCGCGCCGCGCGCCUCUUCACGCGUUUCGCCGAGGCCGGGCGCAGCACCCUGCGGCUCCCCGCCCACGACACCCCGGGGGCCGGCGCAGUGCAGCUGCUGCUCUCGGACUGCCCCCCAGACCGCCUGCGCCGCUUCCUGCGCACAUUGCGCCUCAAGCUGGCUGCGGCCCCGGGUCCCGGGCCGGCCUCCGCCCGAGCGCAGCUGCUGGGCCCGCGGCCCCGCGACUUCGUCACCAUCAGCCCUGUGCAGCCCGAGGAGCGGCGGCUCAGGGCGGCCACCCGGGUUCCGGACACUACGCUGGUGAAGCGGCCUGUGGAGCCCCAGGCUGGGGCCGAGCCUAGCACAGUGAGGACGGGAAAGAAGGGACACCUUUAGGAGUAGAUGUGCCAUUCUUUAAGAUGGCAGAGACCUAGAGACCCAAGUUUGAGGGGAAGCCGGUGUGGGUAUUUGAUACCCAUCUGACAUCUCAGUAUGACAGGGGUGUGGGAAUUGUGCCUGUGGUUGUUAUAGUGUAAUCCCUGAAAUGGAGUAAAUCAAAACAGGAAAUGGGACCUGGCUACAUUAAAAGAGAAAGCAGAGGCCGGGCAUGGUGGCUCACGCCUGUAAUCCCAGCACUUUGGGAGGCUAAAGUGGAUCACCUGAGGUUAGGAGUUCUGAGGCCAGCCUGGCCAACAUGGUGAAACCUCGUAUCUACUAAAAAUACAAAAAUUAGCCAGGCGCGGUGGCGGGCGCCUGUAAUCCCAGCUACUUGGGAGGCUGAGGCAGGAGAAUAGCUUGAACCCGGGAGGCAGAGGUUUCAGUGAGCCUAGAUCGCGCCACUGCACUCCAGCCUGGGUGACAGAGCGCGACUCUUCCUC